CAGAAGCAUUCACUAACAAUAAAGGGAAAAUAAAACAGUUAGGUCUAAGUUAUUUGAAUUUUUCUGAAUUUUGCCCAAUUGCUUAACUUUGAUCUUGUGCAACUGAACUUGCCCUCAGAGGUUCCCUGGAGUAUUAAGAGCCUAAGAAGACUAAUUUUCAAAUUAACCAUUCAGCAAAAUCAUCUUUUCCACUGAAUUACGGUUUCAAGAACGAAUUACAACUUGAAGAAUGAGUGGGUACCCAAAAGUAAGCAACAGCAGCUAAUGAGACCAUUUUGCGACUCUAUGAAAACUUCAUUAUUAUCUGCUGGGAAUUCUGCCACUUAAAUUUCAACAUUCCACUGAAGCUCUUCUAGUGUCAAAGUGAAUGACAGACAACACCUCCUCCUGGCAAUGUCCAGGCUAAAGUCAACUCAGCUCGGUCAUAGUAUAGAAAUGGUAAGUUUCAAUCAGAGGUUAAUUCAAAUUUGGUAUGAGUCAAGGUUCCCUCCUUCUGAAAUCUGCCCUGACCACACCUCUGCAGCUACCUGCCCGGGAGGUAGCUUACUACCUGGGCAAGAAUGCAGGUCAGACUUUUCCGUGUGUUGAUAAUAUGCCAAUCUUGAUAAACCAGCACUGAAAGUUUAAUAGAUAUGUUUUCAUUUAGAUGACAACACAGAAUACAAGUAUUCCAAACUCUCACAAGGGUUAAAUAAUGAGUUUUCUGCUCUGAUUUAUCUUUAUAUAAAGUGAUAUAUCUGAACCAUAUUAGUCAUAGCCUUCAUAAAAAAAGACUGGUUAUAUUUUGAUGUAUUCACAGUUUGAAAUGCAAGUUGGAUUACUUUUUUUAAAAAGGUCCUUGAAAAACGUCUUUUCCUUUUAUUUAAAGACCUGUUAAAAACACCGAGUGUGGGGGUGUCUGGGUGGCUCAGUUAGUUAAGCGUCUGACUCCCGGUUUCAGCUCAGGUCAUGAUCUCACAGUUUCGUGGGUUUGAGCCGCGUGUCAGGCUC